AUUGAACGCUGGCGGCAUGCUUUACACAUGCAAGUCGAACGGCAGCACGGACUUCGGUCUGGUGGCGAGUGGCGAACGGGUGAGUAAUACAUCGGAACGUGCCCAGUUGUGGGGGAUAACUACUCGAAAGAGUAGCUAAUACCGCAUGGGAACUGAGGUUGAAAGCAGGGGAUCGCAAGACCUUGCGCAACUGGAGCGGCCGAUGGCAGAUUAGGUAGUUGGUGGGAUAAAAGCUUACCAAGCCGACGAUCUGUAGCUGGUCUGAGAGGACGACCAGCCACACUGGGACUGAGACACGGCCCAGACUCCUACGGGAGGCAGCAGUGGGGAAUUUUGGACAAUGGGCGAAAGCCUGAUCCAGCAAUGCCGCGUGCAGGAUGAAGGCCUUCGGGUUGUAAACUGCUUUUGUACGGAACGAAAAGCUUCGGGUUAAUACCCUGGAGUCAUGACGGUACCGUAAGAAUAAGCACCGGCUAACUACGUG
rnacentral:rRNA from 1 species